rnacentral:rRNA from 1 species
CCGCCCCUUAGUGCUGCAGCUAACGCAUUAAGCACUCCGCCUGGGGAGUACGGUCGCAAGACUGAAACUCAAAGGAAUUGACGGGGGCCCGCACAAGCGGUGGAGCAUGUGGUUUAAUUCGAAGCAACGAAGAACCUUACCAGGUCUUGACAUCCUCUGACAAUCCUAGAGAUAGGACGUCCCCUUCGGGGGCAGAGUGACAGGUGGUGCAUGGUUGUCGUCAGCUCGUGUCGUGAGAUGUUGGGUUAAGUCCGAACGAGCGCAACCCUUGAUCUUAGUUGCCAGCAUUCAGUUGGGCACUCUAAGGUGACUGCCGGUGACAAACCGGAGGAAGGUGGGGAUGACGUCAAAUCAUCAUGCCCCUUAUGACCUGGGCUACCAGUGCUACAAUGGACAGAACAAAGGGCAGCGAAACCGCGAGGUUAAGCCAAUCCCACAAAUCUGUUCUCAGUUCGGAUCGCAGUCUGCAACUCGACUGCGUGAAGCUGGAAUCGCUAGUAAUCGCGAUAGCAUGCCGCGGUGAAUACGUUCCCGGGCCUUGUACACACCGCCCGUCACACCACGAGAGUUUGUAACACCCGAAGUCGGUGAGGUAACCUUUUAGGAGCCAGCCGCCGAAGGUGGGACAGAUAUUGGGUGAAGU